GUCCACGCCGUAAACGAUGAAUACUAGGUGUGGGGACUGACCCCUCCGUGCCGCAGUUAACACAAUAAGUAUCCCACCUGGGGAGUACGAUCGCAAGGUUGAAACUCAAAGGAAUUGACGGGGCCCGCACAAGCGGUGGAGUAUGUGGUUUAAUUCGAAGCAACGCGAAGAACCUUACCAGGGCUUGACAUCCCGGUGACCGGACUAGAGAUAGUCCUUUCCCUUCGGGGACACCGGUGACAGGUGGUGCAUGGUUGUCGU
rnacentral:rRNA from 1 species